UACGGGGGGGGUAAGCGUUGUUCGGAAUUACUGGGCGUAAAGGGCUCGUAGGCGGCCAACUAAGUCAGACGUGAAAUCCCUCAGCUUAACUGGGGAACUGCGUCUGAUACUGGAUGGCUUGGAUUCGGGAGAGGAAUGCGGAAUUCCUGGUGUAGCGGUGAAAUGCGUAGAUAUCAGGAGGAACACCGGUGGCGAAGGCGCACAUCUGGCCCGAUACUGACGCUGAGGCGCGAAAGCUAGGGGAGCAAACGGG
rnacentral:rRNA from 1 species